UUGUGCGCCCUCCGCCGCCGCACUGUGGGACUGGAGCAGGGAACUGCUGCGGGAAGAGUGCCUUCUGAUCAUUCUGUUAAGCUUUUGUCUUCUGAGCUCCAGUAUCUGUCAAGAGACCAUUUGUGAUUGGUAAAAGAUAACAGUUUAUUAUUAGUCCAUAAAAUGCUAUUCAUCACCCAGAGAUAAGUAUGAAAGUACAGAGAGAAGAGGAUUCAGAACAAAACAGUGAUCAUGGACACUGGUAGUCUGGAAGUCAUCAAAUGAGUGGGGCCUGAUUGCCAACUUGGAAAGCUUGGCUUUAAGUGUACAGUCACUUACUGAUGUGGAGGCAAGUUUUUGUUCAGGUGUUACCAUCCAUGAAGUUUUGUCAUUAGAAUAUAGAAACAUUAGAAUAUAGAAUAUAGAAAAUGUAGUAUGUAAUGUAUAGAAAUAUGUAUCUAUCUAGAACUGAUACAGAAGAUAGGGAAGAAAUCUAAAAGAAGCACCCUGCCAAUUUUAAAGAGAGAAUUAAAAAAUAAUUACCUUGCCACAUGCACUUUUAGUCUUUAUCCUGAGAACAGAAAACUUAUGUAAUUUUGCAAUCUGCAGUUGUCUUUCUGUCUGCCUGGCAUAAUUUCUCCAGGUAGUUUUAGAACUCAUGAUCAGCAUCAACCAAUUUAAAAGAGGGUUACAGGUUAUUACAUUACUGCAAAUCAAAUUAAAACAGGUCGGAACUCAUUGGAUUCUAAGUGGGAGCAAAACUCUAGUGUGUGUGCAGUUCACACUGGGAGACUGACCUGAGAAAGUUGAGUCAGAACUCUCCUGUUCUUGGAAAUAUUUGUUACAAUCGUAUACGGAUAGUUCCUGAAAUCUGUAAAUGCAUACUUCAGCAAUGGGUAAACUACUACCUAUCUACAGAAGAAUAGUUAUUUCUCUCUUAUGAGUGAGACUCAAAGCCCUUUCAAGCUUCUGAUACUCUAGUGCAUGAUAAAAAAACCAGAUUUAAUAAAAAAAGCAUUCAGUUUAUUUGCUGAAUGUCAUUUUUCACAUUGUCUCUGAGCUGCUCACAGUGAUGGUAGCUAAUGGCUUCUCAAAAAGAGAAUACAGAAAAUAUGCUUUUUGAGAGUAAAGCAAAUGAACAGAGAGAGUUUAUAAGAAUCCUAAACACAGAUUUAUGCCAUGUCCCUGAAAGUUAUACCAAAUUAUGACUAAAGAGAAAGAUACAUUAACAGUUUUAUUGUUACCAUACAUCUGUUACUGUGACAAAGAAAAACCCCAACAAAACCUAUUUAACACUAGCACAAAAUUGACAGCAGUAUUUUCCAUUAUCACAAAUGAAGUUAAACUUGUGUGAAUGUUGCUUUGAUAUUAUUGCACAAGUAGUUACUAUUUAACAUUAGUAGAAAUUAAAAUCUCCUACUUUGACAUUUUCUUGUAUUAUUGAGUGAGCAAUGCCCAUGCUGAUAAAGUGUAGUUUUCUGCAGUGUAUCCAGUGUAUUAAAUGAAUUGGUUGCCUCAAUGCAGUUGAGCCACACUUUUCUUUAGGAUUUACUAAAAAGCCUGACCAAAGGACUUCUUGAUGUCUAGAGUAAAGAAAUACGGAGCAGUUUCUUCAGCUCUAUCCUGACAGAAGCAAACCAUCAAGCCUUUUACAUUACAGACAAAACCACAGUAGCUGUAUAUAACAUGAGUUCUUUGUUGAUAAGAAGGAAGGAACUAACCAGCUAGAGGAACUAACAAGUCCCUUAAGAACACUCUGGUCUGCUUUUUACAUUGUUUCUACCUAUUUAACAUAUUAAAAUCUGGUAUAGCUAAUUUUUUUUUAAUUAAUUGAUUUUAAUUUAAGGAUUUUCCUUCUUUGAUAAGGAUUUUUUUCUUUGAAAAGUUUUACAAUGAGUAAUGUACUGAACUGUCUAAACAGAUGUGAGAGUGAUUGUUUACAGAAAAUUUAGGAUUUGAGUUCUUUUGUAUGUUUUGAUAAAGUCAUAGCAUUAUAUUUAGGGGCAAAAAAAAAAGCCCUCUCACAAGGUCCAUUUUCACACAUAGGUAAAACCUUACAAAAGAAAGGCCUUGUAAAAUCAUGGUUCAGGCCUUGUUACUUCAGCUAAGUUUAGCUAGCAGCUAGCCUGAUAAGUUCCCAUGCAAAAACAUCUUGAGAAUGAAAAGUUCGUUAACAUAACAAACUAUUCUUGGGGAGAAGAACAAGUGCCUCUGUAAUAGCAAGGGAUCUGUUCUAUGAGAAUCAGUAGAAAAAAUAUGUAAACAUUGUUAGAGAGAAAAGUUUUGAUUAACAUAUACACUCACCAUUACCAACCAAUUAACUGAGUUCUUAACCAAUUGGAAUUAAACACGGUGCCUUCUGAUAACCAUAUAAAUAUAAGCUGUAUGCAAUAAAGAUUGAGCUAUGAUGGGAGGAGAAACAGGUGUCACUCUCUUUCUCUACUACGACAGUUCAUAACAUUUUCCUUAUGAAAUUGUAAUGGACAUUUGUGAUUCUAACAUUUGUGAAAUGGGUGCCAUGUGAAGCAGCAAUUCAGAUCUCCAUUCUGGCCAGACAGAGCUAGAGGGACAGUUGGAUGUAUUCACCUGUGCCAUCUUUGACUCCCGUCAACAACCCUAAUGUGACAGACUGCAGGCUUUUGCUCCAUCAGCCUUUUCAAACCUUGCUGACAUACUCAAUGCUGCCAACAUCAAGUGAUGAUGCCCUUGUAUCAUUACUCCUAUGUGGCUUUCAUGCAAUGCAUUUAGCAUGUUCUAGGAGUGAGAGGAAUUGGGCGAAUGGAAAAGGAGGGGGAGCUGUAUCUCCCUGCAGCGGGAUCUGUGAAGCACAACAGGAUUUCCAAUAACACAGGUUCCUGUUCUGAUGGCAUGCCAAGCUUCCAGCCAUACUCUACAUUUUCCCAGUCCUUCCUCAGGUUUCUUUCACUAAAAAUCCUUUUGUCUAUGCCAGCACUACUCAGAUGUAUUGAGAUCUAUUCAGUAAUUUUACCAAGGGCUAAUUUUUUAUUGACACCUACUCAGCAUGCAGAAACACAAGAACUCUGUUUUCAGUUCUGCCAGGUGUGAUGUGUGGCUGCUGGGCUGUAGCCUCAGCACCAUCCCAUGUCUGGCCUUGCCAGGAGAACAGCACAGAAGAAAUUACCUCCUGCAGGACUAUCGUGUGUUUGGGACUUUAGUGGAGCUAUUGAAGUUCCUGUACCUAUUUUAUUUCCUCUUUCUGACCUGUUGUCAGGGUGCUGUGUGGACUGGGGUCUCAGGGGCCAGCUGUGCACUCCAGGCCAGGUGCUCCCCAGUCAGGAGCAGGGCACUGGGAGCACCAGGGACAGCCCUAGCCCUGGAAUCAGGCACCACCCUGACAAGGACAGGCUGGGACAGGGACCCUUAAGUAUGCCCAGCUUGGAGGGGCCCAUGGCUGGGGGGACAGGGCUGUGGGGAGCUGGAGAUUGGCUCUGCUCUUCCCCUGUAAAGCUGCUGUUACACUUCCUAGCCCUUCACCCUUCCCACAUCUGCUGCUCACUUCAGGAGGGAGAGGCCUGGCCUCCCUGGAGACUGGAUGUACCUCCACCUCCCUGCCUGCUUCCUCUCCCAAGUAGCCAGAUUCACUCUGCUAGCCAGGCAUGGCAUGGCUGGGGCAUUUCACAGAGGAAAAGAUGGAGAGCUCUCUGUCAUCUCAUGCUUUGCCAUUGUUUGAGAGGGGCAGCUCAAGAUGUCUUCUAAGAAAAAGUUCUUCUCAAAUGCCUAAUGUUAUUCUUCCAAUCCUCAAAAUUGAUGUGAUCACAACCAAACAUAAUUGGAUACUAAGGUAUAAUAAUUUUACAUCUGUCUUUCAAAAGGACUUCUCCUGUAUUUUUAAAGGGAAAUAACUCAUAUUUAUCAACAAAUUUAAAUUACUAAUGUU